AGAGUUUGAUCAUGGCUCAGAUUGAACGCUGGCGGCAGGCCUAACACAUGCAAGUCGAACGGUAACAGGAAACAGCUUGCUGUUUCGCUGACGAGUGGCGGACGGGUGAGUAAUGUCUGGGAAACUGCCUGAUGGAGGGGGAUAACUACUGGAAACGGUAGCUAAUACCGCAUAACGUCGCAAGACCAAAGAGGGGGACCUUCGGGCCUCUUGCCAUCGGAUGUGCCCAGAUGGGAUUAGCUUGUUGGUGGGGUAACGGCUCACCAAGGCGACGAUCCCUAGCUGGUCUGAGAGGAUGACCAGCCACACUGGAACUGAGACACGGUCCAGACUCCUACGGGAGGCAGCAGUGGGGAAUAUUGCACAAUGGGCGCAAGCCUGAUGCAGCCAUGCCGCGUGUAUGAAGAAGGCCUUCGGGUUGUAAAGUACUUUCAGCGGGGAGGAAGGGAGUAAAGUUAAUACCUUUGCUCAUUGACGUUACCCGCAGAAGAAGCACCGGCUAACUCCGUGCCAGCAGCCGCGGUAAUACGGAGGGUGCAAGCGUUAAUCGGAAUUACUGGGCGUAAAGCGCACGCAGGCGGUUUGUUAAGUCAGAUGUGAAAUCCCCGGGCUCAACCUGGGAACUGCAUCUGAUACUGGCAAGCUUGAGUCUCGUAGAGGGGGGUAGAAUUCCAGGUGUAGCGGUGAAAUGCGUAGAGAUCUGGAGGAAUACCGGUGGCGAAGGCGGCCCCCUGGACGAAGACUGACGCUCAGGUGCGAAAGCGUGGGGAGCAAACAGGAUUAGAUACCCUGGUAGUCCACGCCGUAAACGAUGUCGACUUGGAGGUUGUGCCCUUGAGGCGUGGCUUCCGGAGCUAACGCGUUAAGUCGACCGCCUGGGGAGUACGGCCGCAAGGUUAAAACUCAAAUGAAUUGACGGGGGCCCGCACAAGCGGUGGAGCAUGUGGUUUAAUUCGAUGCAACGCGAAGAACCUUACCUGGUCUUGACAUCCACGGAAGUUUUCAGAGAUGGAAAUGUGCCUUCGGGAACCGUGAGACAGGUGCUGCAUGGCUGUCGUCAGCUCGUGUUGUGAAAUGUUGGGUUAAGUCCCGCAACGAGCGCAACCCUUAUCCUUUGUUGCCAGCGGUCCGGCCGGGAACUCAAAGGAGACUGCCAGUGAUAAACUGGAGGAAGGUGGGGAUGACGUCAAGUCAUCAUGGCCCUUACGACCAGGGCUACACACGUGCUACAAUGGCGCAUACAAAGAGAAGCGACCUCGCGAGAGCAAGCGGACCUCAUAAAGUGCGUCGUAGUCCGGAUUGGAGUCUGCAACUCGACUCCAUGAAGUCGGAAUCGCUAGUAAUCGUGGAUCAGAAUGCCACGGUGAAUACGUUCCCGGGCCUUGUACACACCGCCCGUCACACCAUGGGAGUGGGUUGCAAAAGAAGUAGGUAGCUUAACCUUCGGGAGGGCGCUUACCACUUUGUGAUUCAUGACUGGGGUGAAGUCGUAACAAGGUAACCGUAGGGGAACCUGCGGUUGGAUCACCU
rnacentral:rRNA from 1 species